UACGGGGGGGGCAAGCGUUGUUCGGAAUUACUGGGCGUAAAGGGUUCGUAGGUGGCUUGCUAAGUCAGACGUGAAAUCCCUCAGCUCAACUGGGGAACUGCGUCUGAGACUGGCGAGCUUGAGUGCAGGAGAGGAAUGCGGAGUUCCAGGUGUAGCGGUGAAAUGCGUAGAUAUCUGGAGGAACACCGGUGGCGAAGGCGGCGUUCUGGACUGCAACUGACACUGAGGAACGAAAGCCAGGGGAGCAAACGGG
rnacentral:rRNA from 1 species